GAUGAACGCUAGCGGCAGGCUUAAUACAUGCAAGUCGAGGGACAGCACAGGUAGCAAUACUGGGUGGUAACCGGCAAACGGGUGCGGAACACGUACACAACCUUCCUUUAAGUGGGGGAUAGCCCAGAGAAAUUUGGAUUAAUACCCCGUAAUAUAGUUGAAUGGCAUCAUUUGAUUAUUAUAGCUACGGCGCUUAAUGAUGGGUGUGCGGCUGAUUAGAUAGGUGGCGGUGUAACGGCCCACCAAGUCUACGAUCAGUAGCUGAUGUGAGCUGAUGCACAGCCAGACGGGUAUGGAGCACAGAGCUCGACUCCGACGGGAGGCAGCAGUAAGGAAGAUUGGUCAAUGGACGCCAGUCUGAACCAGCCAUGCCGCGUGAAGAAUUAAGGUCCUCUGGAUUGUAAACUUCUUUUAUGUGGGACGAAAAAGGGCCUUUCUAGGUCAACUGACGGUACCAGAUGAAUAAGCACCGGCUAACUCCGUGCCAGCCGCCGCAGGAAUAC
rnacentral:rRNA from 1 species